UUGCAGUGAUACUAUAUAGUAUCACUCUACCAAUUGAAUCUUGGGACAAUACUGGUACUGUAAUUAAGGGAUUUGAUCGUGACUUGAAGGUUCUUGCCUCUUGGGAUCACCACUGUAUUGUGGUUCCAGAACAUAACUGGUCAAUUUCCAAUCACUAUGCUUGAUAGCAAAGAUUCAGGAGGAGAGAAGAAUUGCAGAGGAAGUCAUUGAUCAUCUGUUGCAUUUAAAGGAGGGGGAUGAUCCAUAUUUGAGAGGCACUCUGCUGUAGGUGAUGAGAAUCAUCCAUAAAUUUCUUGAAAUCUAGUGAUGAGAGUUCACGUAAUGAACAGCUUUUACUCAAUUGGAAAAAGCUUAUGUUGUGACAGUAUAUUAUUUUAGGGAUGGGAUGUUGUGCCAAUCCCAUAAACACAAGUGUCCUGAAAUGAUAUCUGGGAAGCCUGAUUUAUUUGUGCUGGAUAAUGUGUUAUUGACUUGAAUCCCGGAAAGAAUGAUGUUUCACUCCAUAUUUCACUAGUAUUAAAUUGUUCAAGAUAUGUUCUUGAGUUAA